rnacentral:tRNA from 1 species
CCUUUGAUAGCUCAGCUGGUAGAGCGGUGGACUGUAGUCAAUAGCAAAACUUAAAAGAAAUCCAUAGGUCGCUGGUUCAAAUCCGGCUCGAAGGA